UUGAUUAUGCCUCUAACUCAAAAUGUCUACGUCUGUCCCUGCGUAAAGCACAAGCCCUUAUCUCGCCUCAUCUACCCUCAACAUCUAUCAAGUGCCUGGUCAAAUAUUCUCACUGAUUGCUAGACAUUUUCCCCUCCACAGCGAUCAUCUUCAUAUGAAACAUGUCGAGUUUUCUCGCGUCUGAAUGAAUUGGAUUUAAUUGAAUUACGGGCCGUGGGCUCCUAGAAAUUUUAAGAGGAAAUUACAAAAUUUCGGGUAUUUAAAAAUCAGAAUUCAAAAAUUAGGGGCAAGUUUUAUUAUUCACAAUUCAGGUAUUAAUAAAUAAAUCAACCAAUUUCAAACCAAAAUUUUAACCCCAUUACCCAUCUCUCUCUAUCCUCUUUCUUCCCGUCUCUCUCUAAACACACAAUGCAACCAAUUUCGUUUUUCAACAACACAGUGCCGGUCGGCCUUAAUGAGCGGCACCGCUGCAUUGCAGAAAAAUGGUGAAUGGGUAAUGCAUAAUUUGUGAUUACAGAUUCCAUUUAAUUAGUAUUUGAGUGUUCCACUUCUCUCUCUAAACACACAGUGCAAUCGAUUUCUUUUCGGCGUUUUCCAGCAACACAGCGGCGCUGGCUGGCCCUGAUAUGAGCGGCACUGUUGCAUUGCAGAAAAAUGGUGAAUGGAAUUUCCAUGGAUCAACUGAGGGAUACCACAUUAAGAUGAUGAACACAACAGGAGCUGGUGAUUCUUUUGUGGGAGCCCUUCAUGGCAUAAUCUGGAUUGAAGGAAGUGCUUAAAUUUGCAUGUGCCUUUGGAGCAAUCACGACUGAAAAAGGAGCCAUCCCAGCUCUCCCGACCAAGAAAGAAGUCCUCACUGUUCUCAAAGCAGGAAAAUAGAAAAAAGAGUUUCCUCCUUUCCUAAUUUUGAUUUUUGACAUGUUAUUGGUAUUAUUUGCAAUUCUUAAUAUGUUUCCAAUUUCUCAAUUUCAAGUUUUCUUUUUAUUUGCUUGUAAGGGUGCAAUAAUUUCUUUUAUAAGUUAAAUAAAUAUCGAUUCAUCA